AGAAACUGGAAAUGUAUGUAAUUAUAGAUAAAGCUUUGGUAGGACUUAAUUCAUCAAGCUGAAGUUUUAGACAUCACAGUUAAAAAAUUGGGGGACUUAGAAAUUCAUUUGUGCUUUCCUGUUGCCUCCAUCAGUAUUUAUAAAAUACUUGAAGGAUGCCAAAUUUCUCUUGCAUCUUAGGCUUGACAAAGAAAUAUAUAUGAUUCAAUUUGAUUGUACUUUGAGACACUUCAUUUGAAAUUUGAUGAAGAUAGUAUGUGUUAAUUAGACGCCAGUAAAAAUAUGGAUGCAGAAUUACGCACUUCAUGCAGAGCAACUGUGGGCUACUGCCACUGACUGGCUUGGCAGUGAUCCUAGUUGGAAAUGAGAGUUUACCAAAGCGAGCUGUCGGAGAUUCAGCCCGGUGCCAUGACAAACUGGGGUGCGUUUGGGAUUACCUGUCGAGCCGUCGCUGCCCCCCCCGGAUGCAGGAUUUCCCCUCAGCUUGAGAUUUGCGGUCCCUGCGCCCACCCAACGCUUGGAUCUCCUCAUGGGUCGAGCCUGACACCUUCCGUUCCUCGAGGAGAGCAAUGUGUCAGUAGAAGUUUCUGACUUCUGGCGUCGGCCGUGAUAUUCAUCCCUACUAGCUGCGGAGUUGGCUGUUGUGUGGUUCUUGCCAGCCAGAGCCCCUCAGCCGGCAGCUGCCCCGUGCCUGUGCCCCUGCCGGCAAGGCGGGCAGCGCCUCGUUGCUCCGAGGAGGACGGUGUGCCGGAGGCAGCCAUCGGGUUGACGGUGUUUGGAGCCGUCAGUGCAUCCCCUCAGCGCACGCUGUGCGCUGUCAGGGUCAGAUGCGGA